UUGCUCUCUUCAACAUCACAUGUACUAAAAUUGGAACUAUACUGAGAAGCUCAUGGCCCCUGUGUAAGUAUGAUAUGUAUAUCCGUGAAGCAUUCCAUAUUUUU
rnacentral:snRNA from 1 species